GUGAUACUCGAAAUAUAACAACUCUCCAAAAACACCUCUGAUACCCUACACUUCCUAAAAUACACCCCGUAUGUGAAAACCGAGCCCGGAAUACAAUAUAGCAUUUAAAAUAAAUUAAAAACAAGAAAAUAUAAGUUUACGCGGGCCGCGUAAAGAUCCUCGCUUAGUUAACGCGGGCCGCGAGAGGUUAGAAAGGUGGCGCAGCCCUGGGCCGCCACGUGGCACAACACCCGUCAAGCCUAUACCUCAACUCAGCAUAGCUAUACGUUGACUUUGGGUCAACGCGGGCCGCGUAAGACCUGUUCUUAUUUGACGCGGGCCGCGAGAGAGUUCAGUAUCAGCCCUAUAAAUUGGAUCGUCGAGCCUUCAGUCCGAUCGUUCAUUUCUUUCUUUCUCUCUCUUAAUUUCUGAGUAGUAGAAGUAAUACCCGGGUAUAAUGCCCCCCUAAUUAGCGAAGCUCUGCCUCGUUUUGAGUAUGACCGUACCACUGAUGUUAAUUUAGCCUCCAAGUAAAACUCUAGUAUAAAUAGAAGUUCAAGGCUUCAGCUUCAAACUGCUUAAACCUUUCCUCUAUGUUGCUCUCUCACACUAUAUUCUUUUUGGUUUAGUAAUUCACCCCUAAAUCCUACAAAGCCCUGCCCUAUUUUAAGUAUUGUAACCCCCGAUCACCGAUACCCUAUCCGACUGACGUAGGGCCCCGUAACGUAUGUCAAGGCUCUGCCUAAAUUCGUUGGGGUUCUGUCUCGUGAUGUAGGGAUAACAUGAAAUUGGGUUACCAUACUUAAUGUGAGUGCACUAUAUAUUUUAUUAAAUAACCCAGGAGUGAAACUCGAAAUAUAACAACUCUCCAAAAACACCUCUGAUACCCUACACUUCCUAAAAUACACCCCGUAUGUGAAAACCGAGCCCGGAAUACAAUAUAGCAUUUAAAAUAAAUUAAAAACAAGAAAAUAUAAGUUUACGCGGGCCGCGUAAAGAUCCUCGCUUAGUUAACGCGGGCCGCGAGAGGUUAGAAAGGUGGCGCAGCCCUGGGCCGCCACGUGGCACAACACCCGUCAAGCCUAUACCUCAACUCAGCAUAGCUAUACGUUGACUUUGGGUCAACGCGGGCCGCGUAAGACCUGUUCUUAUUUGACGCGGGCCGCGAGAGAGUUCAGUAUCAGCCCUAUAAAUUGGAUCGUCGAGCCUUCAGUCCGAUCGUUCAUUUCUUUCUUUCUCUCUCUUAAUUUCUGAGUAGUAGAAGUAAUACCCGGGUAUAAUGCCCCCCUAAUUAGCGAAGCUCUGCCUCGUUGUAAGUAUCAUAACCCCUGGAUACGUAUUAGAUACUCUGCCCGAUUGAUCUAGGGUUCCGUAACGGCUGUCGUGGUUCUGCCCGACGUAGUCGUUGGAAUACCGUCUCGGGUAGGGUAUUACUAAUGUUAAAAUGGGUUAUUAUACUAACGCGUGUGCAUUGUUUAUUUAAUUAGACUAUAACCAGGGAAUCACAAAGGAAAGCCCUAUAAUAGCAAUGUAACUUAGUGUGAAGCCAAUAAAAGCCAGCUGGAGAGCACUGAAGGCUUGGGAAAGUGGCAAUAAAGUUACCUAAAAUAAAAUAGAUGUUUUUAUUAAACAAAAUAGGAUUUAUUCCUAUGAAAAUGUGUGUACUACAAACUUGGGUUUUACCCAUGUGUUUAAUAUUAUGAAAAUAUGGUGGUUUUACUCUGAUAAAAAUAUUUCCUAACUACGGUCCUGAUGAAAAAUUCCGCUGCCAAAUUAGACAAUACACGAUACCACCGAAACUGGCUCACGGCCGCCCGUUCCUGAGGGGUCGGGGGUUGUGAC
rnacentral:lncRNA from 1 species